GUUUUUCGCAUGCGGGAAACCCUGNCGANGCAACGCCGCGUGGAGGAUGAAGGUCUUCGGAUUGUAAACUCCUGUCGAUCGGGACGAAAGUCCUCUGCUCUAAUACAGCAGGGGAUUGACUGUACCGGUGGAGGAAGCUCCGGCCAACUCUGUGCCAGCAGCCGCGGUAAUACAGAGGGAGCGAGCGUUGUUCGGAAUUACUGGGCGUAAAGGGCGCGUAGGCGGCUUGGUCAGUCUUGUGUGAAAUCCCUCGGCUCAACUGAGGAACUGCACAGGAUACUACCUGGCUUGAGUUCGGGAGAGGGGCACUGGAAUUCCGGGUGUAGCGGUGAAAUGCGUAGAUAUCCGGAGGAACACCGGUGGCGAAGGCGGCGCCCUGGACCGAUACUGACGCUGAGGCGCGAAAGCUAGGGGAGCAAACGGGAUUAGAUACCCCGGUAGUCCUAGCCCUAAACGAUGAGCGCUUGGUGUAGGAGGUUUUAACCCCUCCUGUGCCGAAGCUAACGCAUUAAGCGCUCCGCCUGGGGAGUACGGUCGCAAGGCUGAAACUCAAAAAAAUUGACGGA
rnacentral:rRNA from 1 species